UACAGAGGUCUCAAGCGUUGUUCGGAUUCAUUGGGCGUAAAGGGUGCGUAGGCGGCGCGGUAAGUCGGGUGUGAAAUCUUGGAGCUUAACUCCGAAACUGCAUUCGAUACUGCCGUGCUUGAGGACUGGAGAGGAGACUGGAAUUUACGGUGUAGCGGUGAAAUGCGUAGAUAUCGUAAGGAAGACCAGGUGGCGAAGGCGGGUCUCUGGACAGUUCCUG
rnacentral:rRNA from 1 species